rnacentral:rRNA from 1 species
AACGAACGCUGGCGGCAGGCUUAACACAUGCAAGUCGAACGCCCCGCAAGGGGAGUGGCAGACGGGUGAGUAACGCGUGGGAAUCUACCCAUCCCUACGGAACAACUCCGGGAAACUGGAGCUAAUACCGUAUACGCCCUACGGGGGAAAGAUUUAUCGGGGAUGGAUGAGCCCGCGUUGGAUUAGCUAGUUGGUGGGGUAAAGGCCUACCAAGGCGACGAUCCAUAGCUGGUCUGAGAGGAUGAUCAGCCACAUUGGGACUGAGACACGGCCCAAACUCCUACGGGAGGCAGCAGUGGGGAAUAUUGGACAAUGGGCGCAAGCCUGAUCCAGCCAUGCCGCGUGAGUGAUGAAGGUCUUAGGAUUGUAAAGCUCUUUCACCGAUGAAGAUAAUGACGGUAGUCGGAGAAGAAGCCCCGGCUAACUUCGCGCCAGCCGCCGCCGUAAUAC